rnacentral:rRNA from 1 species
UACGUAGGUGGCAAGCGUUGUCCGGAUUUAUUGGGCGUAAAGCGCUCGCAGGUGGUUCGUUGCGUCGUGCGUGAAAGACCCCGGCUCAACUGGGGAGGGUCGUGCGAUACGGGCGAACUGGAGGCCAGUAGGGGGAUGCGGAAUUCCGGGUGUAGUGGUGGAAUGCGUAGAGAUCCGGAGGAACACCAGCGGCGAAGGCGGCAUCCUGGACUGGUCCUGACACUCAUGAGCGAAAGCGUGGGGAGCGAUCCGG